GAUGAACGCUGGCGGCGUGCCUAAUACAUGCAAGUCGAGCGCAGCGGGGACGGGUGAGUAACACGUGGAUAACCUCCUAUAAGACUGGGAUAACUUCGGGAAACCGUAGCUAAACCGGAUACUUAUAGAUGACUCCUCGCUGCAUUAACUAUUUGUUAAGGUAACGGCUUACAAAGGCACCGAUGCAUACCCGACCGGAGAGGGGGAUCGGCCAAACGGGAACUGAGACACGGUCCAGACUCCUAGGGGAGGCAGCAGUAGGGAAUCUUCCGAAAUGGGCGAAAGCCUGACGGGGCAACGCGGCGUGAGUUAGGAGGUUCUUCGGAUGUAAAGACUCUGUGAUUAGGGAAGCGGUAACUAAUCAGAAAGCCACGGCUAACUACGUGCCAGCUGCCGCGGUAAUUC
rnacentral:rRNA from 1 species